rnacentral:tRNA from 1 species
GCGGAUGGCUCAGUGGUUAGAGCUCUUGGUUUACACCCAAGCCGUCGUGGGUUCGAAUCCCGCUCCGCC